GAUGAACGCUGGCGGCGUGCCUAAUACAUGCAAGUCGAGCGAACAGACGAGGCGCUUGCUCCUCUGACGUUAGCGGCGGACGGGUGAGUAACACGUGGAUAACCUACCUAUAAGACUGGGAUCACUUCGGGAAACCGGAGCUAAUACCGGAUAAUAUAUUGAACCGCAUGGUUCAAUAGUGAAAGACGGUUUUGCUGUCACUUAUAGAUGGAUCCGCGCCGCAUUAGCUAGUUGGUAAGGUAACCGGCUACCAAGGCAACGAUGCGUAGCCGACCGGAGAGGGGGGUCGGCCGCCUGGGAAGUUGAACACCGACCCAGCGACUGAGGGACGGCGCAGUAUGGUACGGGUCGCAAUAGGGGGAAAGCUUGCGGAACGAGCGCCAGUGGGUUGUAGAAGUGCCGCGGUCGGGAAAACGGGUUUAGGGGGAAGAACAAAUGUGUAAGUAACUAUGCACGUCUUGACGGUACCUAAUCAGAAAGCCACGGCUAACUACGUG
rnacentral:rRNA from 1 species